CCCUAGUGGAUGUUGAGAAAAUGAAUGUAUGAGAAGCUGCAAUAAGUGAGGUCAUAAAUUAUUUUGUACUUAUGUAGAGUUCCCAUGUACACUCAAUUCAUUCUAGUUCUGGCAUGUAUGCAGUUGACUGAAGGGAAGUUUUCCAGAAACAAGCAGAAGCUGAUACAGGAGAGACUAAAUACACGUAUCUCACACCAUCUGUCUUACAGACAGAUGUGCUGCAGACUUCAGCCCAACACCAGUGGAGUUAUGCUGAUGUAAAACAAGGGGAUGAGUAAGUGAGUCAGGCUCAAGUCGUGUCACAGUGCAGGAGAUCAUGGGAGAAUUGAGUGGACAAUUAGGAUGAUGAUCAGAUUAAGCUUAUUGCUGCGUUUUCUAAUUUAAAGUCAUUGAAUAAGGGAUUCUGACAUUAGGUUUUGGGCAUGCUGUGGAUAUGUUAGUAAUUGUCUGAGUUCUGUCCCUGGUGUUCUUCUCUGUGCUUUGCCUUUCUGUCCUGUCAGCUUUGCUUUUAUGGUGUGGCUCCCUCAGAAACUCAGCUGUAGCUGUGCUUUUUUCCCUGCACUUCUGCCACAAGAGAACCUGCCUCAGGAGGGAUGGAGUUUGUUCCUGACAGAGAAGAGUUAGCCUGGGCUGGUGAGAUGAAAGUGCCUUCCCCCAACUACCGGAUCAGAGUGGAGAUGCAGGGAUGUUGUUCCCAUGGUUGUGGUGGUGCCAUUCUUGUAACCAAAAGAAGAGGUGAGGGCUUGGUUCUUCUGUACAUCGUGGGCAAGAUGGUGCCAGACAUGGAGUUCAAAGCAAACUGAGCUGAACACCAGCCAUGGAAAAGGCUGAUGGUGGCUGGUGACCUGCUGAUUUCCCCACACAGGACGUUUUCCCUUGGCAAUUUCAUACCACAGCAAAGGAAAGAAUAGGCAUUUUGAAAAGGAAGAGAACACAGUUCCACAGGAAUUCCCCUAGGGGUCGGUGUAAUAAUGAAAUCUGGUACUUCUGGAUGAAACACUCAUCCCUUAAGAGGACUGAACCCUGGAAAGAGAAACUUGCAUUUAGCAGUUGUUAUAAUGUGCAAAAGGAGUAACAGCAAUAUAACUGCUUAAUUUAACAGAUUUAACUAAUUUAACAGCCACAUUAAGGAAAAGGGGGAGAAUGUGGGAGGCUGAAAAUUGCAGCCAAGAAGUGCAACAGUGGGAGCAGAGGAUCUGGAAAGAAACCAGCUUGAAAGGGAAAUACUGUGGGUAUGCCAAUCAAGCAGGCAAGGCAAAAGCCAGAAACCUGAGAAGGCCUUUUCAGUCCCCCCCACCACCUCAAGGAACAUUUGAGCCAGAAGUUUUAUGAAAACGCACUUUUCUCCUCUUUUUAAGAGGAAAGACAACAGCUAAUGUGUUAAGUAUUCUGCAUAAAUAUAUAUAGAAAUGUCAAAAAGUGAUAAGCACUUCCAAUUUAUUGCUCUGGUACUUGAACUGUGAAAAUAUUGAAGGAGAAGGAAAUGGAUUACUGAACAAUGUGUUCAUAGAGCUGCUGCCACCCAGUGUCAAGUGAAAGUAUAAAUAUCAUUAGGCUACAGAGAUAGAAUUUCAACCAAAGGUUUAGAAAAGGCAGUUUAAAGCAGUAAAAACCCUUAACCAGACAUGCUUAAAGGAUCAAAUACCACACUGCUGGGGUUGUACCUUUCCCUCUUUCAGUAAAGGAGCUCCUUGUUUCAUUACAAAGCAAAGUUUACUUGUCAUCAGAUAAGCAUCGUGAUUUGAAGCUAGCUAAGAGGUUUUAGCCAUGACCUGCUGACUUGUGUCCCCAGUUCCAGUUUCUCACAGCCUGCCCUACUCCCUGGCUGGGGCAGUGGGAUCCCCCUGAGGUGAUCCCUGUGCCCCUUUAGACUGAUGCAGCUAAUAUAGGGCUGCACUUGCUUGCUGCAGCUCUCCCCUGGCACCUUCCCAUUCCCUGCUCAGGCAGGGUCUGUGCCAGCAGGACAGGAGGUCCUGUUGUCAUUUCUCCCUUGGCCCUGGCUAACAGAGGCUGUGGAUAGCAGAUGCUCCUCUGUUCAGCAGUGCUGGAAGGCAGCCCUGGCUGAUGGACACCACAGCUUGUUGCAGCUCCAGCUAAUGGGCACCCCAGUGACUGGAUGCUCUGGAUAAGAGAGGCUCAUGUUUCCUACAGCUCUUGCUGACAGA